GGGGAAGCCGGUCAGAUCCCGGCGCUGACCCGCAACCGUAGGCCGUCCGACCCUCCCAGGGUCGGGGGCGAGCCGGAGCACCC
rnacentral:ncRNA from 2 species